rnacentral:rRNA from 1 species
UACGUAGGGCGCAAGCGUUGUCCGGAAUCAUUGGGCGUAAAGAGCUCGUAGGUGGUCUGUUACGUCUGCUGUGAAAACCUAGGGCUUAACCCUGGGCCUGCAGUGGAUACGGGCAGACUAGAGGUAGGUAGGGGAGAAUGGAAUUCCCGGUGUAGCGGUGAAAUGCGCAGAUAUCGGGAGGAACACCAGUGGCGAAGGCGGCGCUCUGGGCCGGGAACUGACGCUGAGGAGCGAAAGCGUGGGUAGCAAACAGGAUUAGAUC